AUCAGCAUCCUUGUGAUCGUUUUGUGUACAGUUAAUCUUCAGUUCCAGAGUUGGUUUGUUCCCAUUUCCUUGAGGCCAGUUCUCAGAAUUGUGCAAGACGGAGCAGCUCACAUCAUGGCUAUAGCCUGGUCAUCAUGAAGUUAGCUUCUUCCACUGGGUGGGGGUUUCAGUAUCUCUAAAAUAGCUCAAAGGAUAUGGCUGAGAAUGUUAAUCACAGAUUUUUAAAGAGGAAAUAAAGGUCCUUGUCUUUUUUUGUUUUUUGGCCACACCACAUGGCUGCCAGGCUCUUAGUUCACUGCCCAGGGAUAGAACCCAGACUCUCAGCAGUGAAAGUGCCAAGUCCUAAUCUUUGGACUGCCAGGGUAUUCCCCAAAGAUCCUUGUCUUUAAUGGCUAAACUUACUAUUUUGUCUUGUUUGACUGCUUUCCUUUGCUUCUGCAUGUUCUCACUCCUCUAAUUAAGUUUAUUCUUUGGCUAAAGUUUUUUCUACAGACAAGAAGUGGGCAGAGGAUGGUAAGGGAACAGUCUGGGCUUCCCAGGUGGCUCAGUGGUAAAGAAUCCACCUGCUAAUGUAGUGAGUGAGUGAGUGAAGUCGCUCAGUCGUGUCUGACUCUUUGCGACCCCGUGGACUACCAGGCUCCUCCGUCCAUGGGAUCCUCCAGUUUUCUUGCCCGGGAAAUCCCAUGGACAGAGGAACCUGGCAGGCUACAGUCCAUAUGGUCACAAAGAGUCAGACAUGACUGGGCACACAUAUACAUAUUGUCCUGAGAAGGCCCCAUGGGGACCUGCUCAGUUACAGUUACACACUUCUGUAAAUCAAAAAUAAAACUUCACAAUGAAAGCAGGCAAUGCUAGGAAUUUUUUAAAGAAAAAUUAAUGGAGGGACAAAAGAUUUACCUAUUAGUAUAAAAUGUCCAUCCCAGAAUUUGGAAGCCCCCUCACUGCCCAGCCUCUGUCCACAGCCAGAAGCCCUGUUUAGUUGGGGAAAAGUGUCUAUAGAACUGUGUCUUCCAGGGCCCUGCUGUUGGCAGCACUGGGUGCUUAUUGUAACCCUGAGUUCCCAGCCCUUUAGAUUCCACGUCUCUGGGGCUUGGUGGGAACCAGGCAUCUGUGGGACUGAUGGACACUCAUCGAUGCUAACAGUAGCCAUCACUAGAGGUGGGGAAUGGGUAUUUAACAACACUCUGUGAAUUUCUGUGUUUUUCCAAAGUUUUAUUUAAAGGACUCUUUUUUAAAAUUAAAUGUUUAUUUAUUUACUUGGCUAUCCCAGGUCUUAGAUGUGGCAUGUGAACUCUUAGUUAUGGCAUAUGGGAUCUAGUUUUCUGACCAGGGAUCAAACCCAUCCCUCUUUCAUUGGGAGCUCAGAGUCUUAGCCACUGGACCACCAGGGAAGUCCCAGGACUCUUUGUUUUUAGAAAAAGGAGUUUUCUUUUGGAAUAGUGUUCAUUCUUGAGGAGUAAAUGACAUCAUAGGAAAAUGCUAGAUGUGUUAUUGAGAAGCAGUUUCAAAACAGUCAAUAUAAUGUGGUUAAUACAAUUGAUAGAUUCUAUGUAAUUGACAUAUAAUUAAUAAAAAUCCUAUGCACAGAAAAUAGAGAACAGAUCUGUCAGAAGUUUUCCCUUUAGAUCAGGAGGCCACGGGCUUCUCAGAUGGUACUAAUGGUAACAAACCUGCCAUCUCCAAUGCAGGAGACAUAAGAGACAUGGGUUUGAUCCCUUGGCUGGAAAGAUCCCCUG
ensembl:lncRNA